UUAAUAAAAUUUGGCAGCACAUAUACUAAAAUUGGAACGAUACAGAGAUUAGCUUGGCCCCUGUGCAAGGAUGACACAUAAAAUUAUUUGUUACUAGACUUUUGU